UUAGUAGUUUUAGUUAGGUUAGUUAGUUAGCUUGGUUAGGUAGGUGGAGGAGGAGAAGAGGAGAAGAGGAUGAGGAGGAGGACAAGAAGAGGAGAAGAAGAAGAGGAGUAGGAGGAGGAGGAGGAGGAGAAGAAGAAGAAGAAGAAGAAGAAGAAAAAGAAGAACAAGAAGAAGAAGAAGAGAAGAAAAAAAUAAGAAGGAGAAGAAGAAGAAGAAGAAGAAGAGAAGAAAAAAUAAGAAGG
rnacentral:lncRNA from 1 species